AAUGAACGCUGGCGGCGUGCUUAACACAUGCAAGUCGUACGAGAAAGCCGAAUUUCGGUUUGGCGAGUAAAGUGGCGCACGGGUGAGUAACGCGUAGGCAACCUGCCCUUGUGUUGGGGAUAACAGAGCGAAAGUUCUGCUAAUACCGGAUACGAUGCGAUUUCGAGAGGGGUCGCAUGAAAGUCAGCCGCUCGAAGAAGCUGGCGCACGAGGAGGGGCUUGCGUCCUAUCAGCUAGUUGGUAGGGUAACGGCCUACCAAGGCGACGACGGGGCGCUGGUCUGAGAGGAUGAUCCGCCACACUGGCACUGGAACACGGGCCAGACUCCUACGGGAGGCAGCAGUAAGGAAUAUUGGUCAAUGGGCGAAAGCCUGAACCAGCCAUCCCGCGUGCAGGAUGAAGGUCCUAUGGAUUGUAAACUGCUUUUAUCAGGGAAGAAACGCCUUCAUUCAUGAGGGUCUGACGGUACCUGAGGAAUAAGCACCGGCUAACUCCGUGCCAGCCGCCGCGGUAAUAC
rnacentral:rRNA from 1 species